rnacentral:rRNA from 1 species
CCUACGGGCGGCAGCAGUGGGGAAUAUUGGGCAAUGGAGGAAACUCUGACCCAGCAAUGCCGCGUGAAUGAAGAAGGUCUUCGGAUUGUAAAGUUCUUUAGUCAGGGAAGAAUAAAAUGACGGUACCUGAAGAAUAAGCUCCGGCUAACUACGUGCCAGCAGCCGCGGUAAUACGUAGGGAGCAAGCGUUGUUCGGAAUGACUGGGCGUAAAGGGUGCGUAGGCGGAAGGUUAAGUCAGCGGUCAAAUGUCGGUGCUCAACACGGCCUGCCAUUGAAACUGGUCUUCUUGAGUGAGCGAGAAGUAUGCGGAAUGCGUGGUGUAGCGGUGAAAUGCAUAGAUAUCACGCAGAACUCCGAUUGCGAAGGCAGCAUACCGGCGCUCAACUGACGCUGAGGCACGAAAGCGUGGGGAUCGAACAGGAUUAGAUACCCGUGUAGUC